UCAAAACCGGAGAGCCGUCCAGAACCAUUCACUACCCCAAGCGACGAAGUCAGACGUGCUGUCUCCGGGAGCUUUGUUCCCAGGUCAUUUUAAAAUACUUUCCAAGGAACUGGUGGCACCGCCGGGAGACGGCGCAACCCCUGGGCGGACGCGGGCAGUCCUGGGCUCCCAACUGCGGCUGCGGCCGCCCUGUCACCUGUCCCGGGAGUCCCGCCCGCGGCGGUGGGGCGCCCCCGCACUCCCCCCAACCCAGCGCCUCCUUUGGCGAGGACCGCCCGGGCCUCAUUUUCCCCACCUGUACUCGAGGGGUCGGACGGGCCACCUCUCGGCGCCCCUCUAGCUCGACUAUAGGACUCCGGGCGGGGGGGCAGCUCGGCCGCUACCCCGCUCAGGUCGUACUCGCUGUGAGGGGGAUCCCGAGGGGGCCGGUCCUCGGCGCCCCGCACUCACCCGGCUGAUGCUUCAGUGCCAUCACCGACACCAGGUAGUGGGCGAUGUCAAAAAAGGGAAACAUGGAAGUACGAGAAAAGGCAAGGGACAGCUCAUUCCACGGACAGUCCAUCACGACGACCGACCGCCGCAGCCGAAGCAGCCGCGGCGACGGGUUCCCGGCGUGCGCGACGAGGGGAGGGCUCAGCUAUGCCUUUUAGACAUUAUUCAUCAGUGAUUUGUGUUUGGAGCAAAGGGAAUAUGGCAAGGCCUCUCACUGUUGUGGCCUAUCCCGUUGCGGAGCACAGGCUCCGGACGCGCAGGCUCAACAGCCAUGGCUCACGGGCCCAGCCGCUCCACAGCACGUGGGAUCUUCCCGGACUGGGGCACAAAUCCGUGUCCCCUGCAUCGGCAGGCGGACUCUCAACCACUGCGCCACCAGGGAAGCCCCUCUUUGUUUUCUUUUGUUUUUGAUUUUUUUUUUUUUUUGGCCGCCCCAUGUGGCUUGCAGGGUCUUAGUUGCCGGACCAGAGAUUCAACCUGGACCCCCUGCAGUGGAAGCGUGGAGUCCUAACCACUGGAUCUUCCCUAAAAACCAACACUUGAAAACCAAAGUUACAGCAUGCUGACUAGUAUUUUUUUAACCAUCUCUUCCACUAAACCUCUCACAAUCCUACCACUGAUUAUACAGAAGCAAAGGGGUAAUAGAGGAAUGGCUAACACUUUUCAGAGACGGGACUGGAAUAUAGUCUCUCUGAGGUCUUUGUAGAUCCCAUAUGCCAAUCCUGUCCCAAACUUCUAACAUAUAAUCAGUAUACAUAUAGCAUAUACAUGUUUUGUAAGAUAAAAUUCUACCCAUUGAACCUUGUUUUUCUGCUGACUUCCACUGUAAGUUGAGUGAUUCCAUCUAUCGUAUUGACAAACUCUCCUAUGCAAUCUCCAUAGGACAGAACUAGUGAAGUAGAAGAAAUUUAUAUCACCAAUGAGUAGACAAAUUAAAGCUUGUAUGGAUAGUUAUCAUUUAACACCUGAAUGCACAUACUUAAUGACCAUAUCAAAGACUACUCAUUUAAAGCAUGCACAAGACUUUUCUUUAAGGCCAGAGGGAAAAACCUCAAGGCAUUUUUAUUUCUACUGCGUAACUUCCAAAAACUAUAUCUAUAGCUCAUCAACAAGUAAUUAGACUCCAGCUGUGC